rnacentral:ncRNA from 1 species
AUUUUUGUAAAAUUGUUACAAGCGCUGCAUGGCUGUCUUUAGUUAAUGUCGUGAGAUUUGGUUAACUCCUUUAAUUAACGAAAACCCUAGCUUUAUUUAUAUAUAUAAAGUUGUUCGCUACUACAUUGGAUAUGAUAAUAGGGAUUAAGACAAGUCAUUAUGGCCUAAAUGCUGUGGGCUAUAGACGUGCCACAUACGCCUUUACAAAGGGAUGCGAUAUUGUGAAAUGGAGCUAAUCCCUAAAAAAGGAAAUAUUAUGGAUUGUAGUCUGUAACUCGACUACAUGAAAAAGGAAUUACUAGUAAUCGUGUAUCACCAUCGUCACGGUGAAUUUUUUCUCAGUUAGGUACUAACCACUCGUCAGGCGCUGAAAGAAGAAGAUGCAGUAAGUUUGAUUUUUUUUGUGUAUUAUUUAUAUAAUUAGGUAUAUAAGUACGCAUAAAAAUUUUCGUGUGCAAAACUUUAAUUGGUGUUAAGUCGAAAUAAGGUUCGUGUAAUGGAAAUUGCACGGGAAGUAUAAACAUU